rnacentral:misc_RNA from 1 species
AAAGUCGUAACAAGGUAACCGUAGGUGAACCUGCGGUUGGAUCAUUAUAAAAUUUUCCAAAUUCAUUUGGGUGAGAGGGUUUGCGAUGUCCUCGAGGCCAAAUGAUGCCCCUUCCAAAAAGGGGUCACCCACAUUGUGUGAACUUGUACACUGUCUCUGGCGGGGGAGGAAGGAGAUUGGAAGGUUCCCUCGUGGGACCUUUCUUUUGCAAUUCUUCGUCAGCUCGGUUCGUCCCUUCAAGGUCGAAUCGGUGCCGUGGACAUCCCGCCAACCACUUCCCCUGGGAGAUCCUUCUUUGGGUCUCUCAUUGGAUCUCCUUUGCUCACCUUUUGUAUCUGUUUUUUCGGGAAAUGCUUCUGAGAAUUCGACUGAGCAGAAGCUCGGUCAUUUUUGAAAAAUACAAUUAUUCAAAACAACUUUUGGCAACGGAUCUCUUGGCUCUC